rnacentral:tRNA from 1 species
GUGUGUAUAGCUCAGUGGUAGAGCACCUGCUCAGCAUGCAGGAGGUCCUGGGUUCAAUUCCAGUCCCUCCA